UACGGAGGAUGCAAGCGUUAUCCGGAAUGAUUGGGCGUAAAGCGUCCGCAGGUGGUUUUGUAAGUCUAUUGUUAAAGCGUCUGGCUCAACCAGAUAUAGGCGGUGGAAACUACAAGACUAGAGUACGUUCGGGGCAGAGGGAAUUCCUGGUGUAGCGGUGAAAUGCGUAGAGAUCAGGAAGAACACCGGUGGCGAAAGCGCUCUGCUAGGCCGUAACUGACACUGAGGGACGAAAGCUAGGGGAGCGAAUGGG
rnacentral:rRNA from 1 species